UCCCUCUCAGGAUCACACCUGGAGAGUUUCCAGUACCCUACCAGUCUCGGCUAUGGGAGGGAGAGUGAAGCAGAGGCCUACCCAUUCCAGUCCUAGCUUGGGCAGUGGCUAGCGAGCAGAAGGCAAUCUGUUAUAAGU